AGUGAACGCUGGCGGCAGGCCUAAUACAUGCAAGUCGAGCGAACAGACAGUAAGCUUGCUCCUCUAAGGGUGGCGACUGACGGGUGAGUAAGAAGUAGAUAACCUACCUAUAAUACUUGGAGAACUACGUGAGGCAGGAGCUGAUACUAGAGAAUAUAUUGAACGGGAUGGAUCAAGAGUUAAACGCGGUUUUGCUGUCACUUAUAGAUGGAUCCGCGCCGCAUUAGCUAGUUGGUAAGGUAACGGCUUACCAAGGCAACGAUGCGUAGCCGAUCUGAGAGGGUGAUCAGCCACACUGGAACUGAGACACGGUCCAGACUCCUACGGGAGGCAGCAGUAGGGAAUAUUCGGCAAUGGGCGAAAGCCUGACGGAGCAAUGCCGCGUGAGUGAUGAAGGUCUUCGGAUCGUAAAACCCUUUUAUUAGGGAAGAAAAAAUGUGUAAGUAACUCCGCACGUCUUGACGGUACCUAAUCAGAAAGCCACGGCUAACUACGUG
rnacentral:rRNA from 1 species